AAAUUGUGAUGUGGGCACUUUCUCAACAAGUCCUUGAAUCUUUUCCAAGCUUCAUACAAGCUUUCUUGAUCAUGGUAGCUUUCUUGAUCAUGGUGAGCAAAUGUCAUUAUCUCAUUGCGCAGUUU
rnacentral:snoRNA from 1 species